AUGGGGCCGUAUUUCAAAAGUUUUAAGGGGGUUAGACAGGGAGAUCUCGUGUCGCCGUUCCUGUUCAACAUAGCAGCCGAAUGCCUGUGUAAAAUGGUGCUGCAAGCUCGGAAAAAUAACCUGAUUGUUGGGAUUGCACCAGAUCUUAUUGAAAAUGGAGUGGCCAUUCUGCAGUAUGCAGAUGACACGGUCUUAUGCAUUGAACACGAUCUGGAUAAGGCUGUGAACAUGAAACUGUUGUUAUACAUUUUUGAACUCAUGUGUGGACUCAAAAUCAAUUUUCAAAAAAGUGAAAUCCUGUGUGUGGGGGGAGAUGAUGAUAUUCUUAAAGCAUAUGCUGAUAUCUUUGACUGUCAAAUCGGGCACUUUCCCAUGAAAUAUCUUGGGGUGCCAAUGACUUUUUCCUCCCCGCGAGUAGCUGAUUGGGACUUUUUGGAGGCCAGGUACAUUAAAAAUGUGAUUCUGGACUGGGGGGCAAUGCCU
rnacentral:rRNA from 1 species